AUGUCCAGGAUGCAUGUGAAAUCUGGCACUGCCACUGGGUACAUCCGCAAGCCCAGCACUGGUUUGAAAUCUGAAUCUUCAGUGAAAAGAAUCAUGCUGCCUUUGAGUGUUUCACUGAUGAUCCUGUGGCUGCAGUUGAGAAAGGUGAGCAGCCAGCAGAAGGUGGAACAGCAUCCUGAAUCCCUAGGGGUUCCGGAGGGAGCCAUGGUCUCUCUCAAUUGCACUUUCAGUGACAGCAGUUUGCAGUACUUCUUUUGGUACAAACAGCAUUCUGGGGAACGCCCUGAGUUUCUGAUGUCCAUAUUCUCCAAUGGUGACAAAGAAGAAGGAAGAUUCAGAGCUCAUCUCGAUAAAGUCAGCCGACACCUUUCCCUGCACAUCAGAGGCUCCCAGCCCAGUGACUCUGCUGUCUACCUCUGUGCAGUAGAUCUUGUUGUACAGCCCAAACAGGCCUGA